UGCCCUUUUCCAUUACGGACAUAUGUACGUGGUAAAUCUUUUUUUAGUUGACACGUGAAGGAAUUUUUGUGUGUAAAAACAUUGCACCUUCACAAUAUUUGUAUGUAACGUUAAAUCUUUAAAUCUCGGCCGUCUAUAUCUAAAAUUAACGGUUGAGGUAAUUUAAUCUGUGUGGAUGAACGUAGUGGCUUAUUUGUCUUCUAUCUUAAUUAUGAUGAUAGUCUACGCAAGAUCUACACAUGUUAAAUUUUUGUUGACUUGAAUCUGUUAUGCCCUUGAUUUUUUUACUUAGCUUAACCCAGAACAACAACAUCCUUGAUAUUUACUGAUCCCCACCUCGCUCUUUGCACUCGCAGACUUGAAGGCAUCUAUCGUCCCAGCUUUCAGAAUGGAGAAACUAAUCAUUCGGUGGUGGUGACCCAUAUGAUGGCGAUUCGCUCCGGCCAUUCCAGUUUUUGCGGUGGUGGUGCUGCUGCGCCUAUGAUGGUAGACUCGUCUGAUUCCCCUAGCCGCAUCCAUGGUGAUGAAGCUCGGCCUAGGCUAGAACCCCCUCCGAUUUGCUUAAGAUCACGGAAGCUUGGGUUGAUGGAGUGCUUGUAUUUAGU